rnacentral:rRNA from 1 species
UACGGAGGAGCCGAGCGUUAUCCGGAUUUAUUGGGUUUAAAGGGCGCGUAGGCGGCCUGUUAAGUCAGGGGUGAAAGACGGUAGCUCAACUAUCGCAGUGCCCUUGAUACUGAUGGGCUUGAAUGAACUAGAGGUAGGCGGAAUGUGACAAGUAGCGGUGAAAUGCAUAGAUAUGUCACAGAACACCAAUUGCGAAGGCAGCUUACUGUGGUUUUAUUGACACUGAGGCACGAAAGCGUGGGGAGCAAACAGG